CAACAGGGAUUGCCCUAGUAACGGCGAGUGAAGCGGCAACAGCUCAAAUUUGAAAUCUGGCUCUUUCAGAGUCCGAGUUGUAAUUUGCAGAGGGCGCUUUGGCUUUGGCAGCGGUCCAAGUUCCUUGGAACAGGACGUCACAGAGGGUGAGAAUCCCGUACGUGGUCGCUAGCUAUUGCCGUGUAAAGCCCCUUCGACGAGUCGAGUUGUUUGGGAAUGCAGCUCUAAAUGGGAGGUAAAUUUCUUCUAAAGCUAAAUAUUGGCCAGAGACCGAUAGCGCACAAGUAGAGUGAUCGAAAGAUGAAAAGCACUUUGGAAAGAGAGUCAAACAGCACGUGAAAUUGUUGAAAGGGAAGCGCUUGCAGCCAGACUUGCUUGCAGUUGCUCAUCCGGGCUUUUGCCCGGUGCACUCUUCUGCAGGCAGGCCAGCAUCAGUUUGGGCGGUGGGAUAAAGGUCUCUGACACGUUCCUUCCUUCGGGUUGGCCAUAUAGGGGAGACGUCAUACCACCAGCCUGGACUGAGGUCCGCGCAUCUGCUAGGAUGCUGGCGUAAUGGCUGUAAGCGGCCCGUCUUGAAACACGGACCAAGGAGUCUAACAUCUAUGCGAGUGUUUGGGUGUCAAGCCCGAGCGCGUAAUGAAAGUGAACGGAGGUGGGAACCCGCAAGGGCGCACCAUCGACCGAUCCUGAAGUUUACGGAAGGAUUUGAGUAAGAGCAUGGCUGUUGGGACCCGAAAGAUGGUGAACUAUGCUUGAAUAGGGUGAAGCCAGAGGAAACUCUGGUGGAGGCUCGCAGCGGUUCUGACGUGCAAAUCGAUCGUCAAAUUUGGGCAUAGGGCGAAAGACUAAUCGAACUAUCUAGUAGCUGGUUC
rnacentral:rRNA from 1 species